ensembl:lncRNA
GGCUGGAGAAGCCAGUGAGCUGCUCGUCAGGGAGGCCCAAAUCAUGUGUGAGCCAUACCAGGUGGAGGAGCCUCAAAGUAACUCCAGGCUGGCAUUAGAAGCCAUUGCUGUUUAGUGUUGCUUGUUCAGUUCUGGUCUGGAGUUUCUUCAUGUUGGUAAUACUAGUUUGCAGAUGAUUACUUUUGGCUGCUAUGGCUGGUUCUACACCUGCAGAAUCAAGAUGACCAAUGGAAAAACUAAAACUUCCAAGGUUCGGAAGUUCGGGUUGGUUCAAUAUGCAUUGGGCAAGAAACCCAGUGGAGACCGUGGUGCCAUGAAAGCAAACAAAAGGACGGUCCAGAGAGGUGGUCGAGCAGUUUCAGCCUCCUAUGACGGUGGAAAUUACCAGCAGUCUUUAGUGAUUUGAGUGAACGCUUUUUGCUCGUACAGGGAAACUGCGAUCAAUGUUCGACAUUCCGGUUGGGUAAAGUAGUUGUGUGAUUCCAUGCAGGACGGUCCAGAGAAGACAACAGGAUCCUGCCUUGGGCUCCCUGGGAGCGGCCAAGCAACUUCAGCCUCCUGUGAAAAUUGAGAGGGAAGACCCUUUCUCAGUACUGCUUUUCAUGUCAUGCUGUGUGAAAAGUCUAAUAAAAUGUUAGAAUGCCUGACUGUUGGUUAACUGCAUCUGCUGCUAAUAUGUACUGAACUAAUCAAGUUUUUAUCUGCGCUUUCCCAGUGUGUAAAAAGAUGCAUCCUUGUGAGUGUUUAAAUAUUUCUUGUUUGCUAAAGUACUGUUGUGCUACCACACAGGAUGAUUCAGAGAACACUACAUGCUCCUGCUUCAGGGGCAAGCAGCUUUAGCCUCCUUUGGAAAUUGCCAAAUGCUCCUGCCAAAUUAGCGAUUUGACUAACGGGUAAGACUUUUUUUUCCCAGUAAUGGUUAUGUAAUGCUUGUCAUGCAGGCUGUGUGACGGGUCUAGAAAAAUGUUUUAAAUGGUAUGAUUGCAUAAUGUACUUGCGGUGCUUCUUGUCUUUGGUUGUAUUUCCUGAACUAUUCGGUUUUAACGAUUUUCCAUUCGCCAAUGUUUUAGGUGAAAGAUUGUGUUAGUGUUUAAGACUGUUCUGAAUAAGUUGCAUGAAGUAGUCUUGUUAUUUCUUGCAAAA